rnacentral:rRNA from 1 species
GACAGAGGUGCCGAGCGUUAGGCGGAAUCACUGGGCUUAAAGCGUGUGUAGGCGGACUUCUAAGUACCUUGUGAAAUCCCAUGGCUCAACCAUGGAACUGCUCGGUAUACUGGUUGUCUUGAGCCACUUAGGGGCAGUCGGAACAGACGGUGGAGCGGUGAAAUGCGUAGAUAUCAGGAGGAACACCGGUGGCGAAGGCGGUUCUCUGGGCAUGUCCUGACGCUGAGGAGCGAAAGUGUGGGGAGCGAACAGG